UACGUAGGGUGCGAGCGUUAAUCGGAAUUACUGGGCGUAAAGUGUGUCGGCAGGCGGUCUCGCAAGUCAAGUGUGAAAGCCCCGGGCUUAACCUGGGAACUGCGCUCGAAACUGUAGGUCUUGAGUGUCGGAGAAGGAUGGCGGAUUCCUGGUGUAAGAGGUGAAAUGCGUAGAUAUCGGGAGGAACACCAGUGGCGAAGGCGGCUGACUCUAGGGCU
rnacentral:rRNA from 1 species